rnacentral:rRNA from 1 species
AGCAGCCGCGGUAAUUCCAGCUCCAAUAGCGUAUAUUAAAGUUGUUGCAGUUAAAAAGCUCGUAGUUGAAUUUCGGGGUCAGUAGGUUGGUCGUGCCACUGGUACGUACUGGUUUCACUGAUUCCUCCUUCCUGAAGAAUCGUAAUGCCAUUAAUUUGGUGUUGCGGGGAAACAGGACUGUUACUUUGAAAAAUUAGAGUGUUUAAAGCAGGCUAACGCUUGAAUACAUUAGCAUGGAAUAAUGAAAUAGGACGGUCGAUCCUAUUUUGUUGGUUUCUAGGAUUGACGUAAUGAUUAAUAGGGAUAGUUGGGGGCAUUAGUAUUCAAUUGUCAGAGGUGAAAUUCUUGGAUUUAUUGAAGACUAACUACUGCGAAAGCAUUUGCCAAGGAUGUUUUCAUUAAUCAAGAACGGAAGUUAGGGGAUCGAGGACGAUCAGAUACUGUCGUAGUCUUAACCAUAAACUAUGCCGACUAGGGAUCGGAUGAUGUUA